ACACGUCUACAUUAGAUACCCCGGUAGUCCCAGCCGUAAACUAUGCGCGUUAGGUGUAUCGGUGACCACGAGUCACCGAGGUGCCGAAGGGAAACCGUGAAACGUGCCGCCUGGGAAGUACGGUCGCAAGGCUGAAACUUAAAGGAAUUGGCGGGGAGCACAACAACGGGUGGAGCCUGCGGUUUAAUUGGACUCAACGCCGGGAAGCUCACCGGAUAAGACAGCGGAAUGAUUGCCGGGCUGAAGACUCUGCAUGACUAGCUG
rnacentral:rRNA from 1 species